UAGUUUGUAGGGCCUGACUAUCUGAGACCGUAUGUCCUUAUACCAAUCUGUCAAAACCUUGAGAUCUGCAAGGGAAAGCUUUAUCUUGGUCCCACCACAGCCAUGCUUGGUGAGGACAUGAGACAGAGCCUUCUUAGUGGCUGCUCCCAUUCUCUGGGCCUUCCAUGACCUUUUAAUGGGUAUAUUUUAUGUAUCUUUUAAUUUCUGUAUAUUUUAAUGGAACUUAAUAUUGGAUUUCAACACCAUACUGCCCAAGUCUGCACUCCUCAAUGAGGAACAGUUAGCUGAGGGAAUCCCUUCACCGCUGACUCCUGAAUGUCAGUUGGAAUGUAUCUAUUGGUUCUCUCUCUCUCUCUGUUCUCAUCCCGAUUGGUGGUGUAGAAUGGAUAUUCUUCAGGUUGCAUGCCUUUGUUUAAGACUUCUGCUUUUUCAUCUUUGCACUCAGACCUCUCUCUACUCUCUGUGUUUGAAGAGAUAUAGUGUUUGGAGGUUUUUCCACUUGUUUUGGAACUUAGAAGUCAUGGAGUUAGAGAGAAGCUUAGACCCAAUUCUUUCCUUUCAAGAAAUGUAGUUCUUAUUUGUAAAUAAACCUUUUUGGUAACUUUAAAGAUUGAACUCUGCAUCUUUGCCUUCUGUGAUCAAAAUUCUUUGGCAGCCACACAACACUUCACCUUUCUACUUGCUGUGAGCUGACUGCUCAAUUAAGUAUCUUGUUUGUAUUUUUGGAUGCUCUGCUAUUUUUGGGAGAAUUCCCUAAUACUUAAGAUGUAUUAUAUGAUUUCAGUUAUUUUGACAUUAUGUGUGAUACUAUUUUAACGUAUUGUAUUUGGAAGCCACCCUCGGCCCCGAAUUGAGAGAAAGGCAGAAGAUACAUUCAAGACACAAAGAAACAAAAAACCCAAAUAAAAUAAACUGGGCUGUGUUGUCAGUCUUAAGUUGCUGUUGGAAUUAUAAAAUGAACCCUACAAUUUAAAAUUUCCUACAGUGCCUCAGAACUGGUAUGUUGACAUCGUUGUGAGAAAUGUAUGAUGCCUACUCACAUCUGCUACCAGGUUAAUUUAUGUCCCCUUUAAGGUCUUUCUCUCUGUGUGAGAGAGACUCUUUCCUUUGAAUUAUUUUGAAGGGGGGAAAAGCCAAGAUAGGUAUGUAUAUAUGUCUGAGGAAAAACAUUCUUCAUUACUAUUCAGGCACACAUUGCAAUGUCCCCAUGAAGAAAGCAGGCUUUGUUUCAUUGAGAAUGAUGAAUCAUUACUUUUCCAUCUCAUUUCCUAAGCACUAUACUGUGUGACUAUUACACUUGAGUGGUUUCUAGUGUCUUACAUUAUUUUAUGUCUUGGUUAGAGUCCCAUUCCUGUUUCUAUAAUAUUGAGAGGGUUACUUAAGAAGAGGUUUUCUAAUGGAUACAGAAAUCUGAAAUGUCUCUGCCCCUGCCCCCCACACACACAUCCAUUUCAGAUUUUCUGAUCUUUUGACUUUUUUUGUUGGUUAUACAAAGCCUCCAAAGGUGGUUAAACCAAAAUCAUAAGAAGAUUAUUUCUUUUCCAUAAUAUGCUUAUUAUCUGCACUACUGGUAAUAGGAUCACUUCAGUCAUUCUUAAGAGCCCUUGGUGGCAUUCAAUAGUUGAUCUGUCGGAUCCCUAUUUGUUACUUGCUUUCUGCUUCAUCAGACAAUUUAGGGGCUGAUAUACACCAUAGGACUUUCCAAAGUAGCUCUUAUUCAUGGUCGAAAUACAGGAAAUCCAUUCAGUUGAACACAGAAUCUGCAGUGCUGGGUCAAGGUGCUUUGCUGCCAAAGGUAUAGAAACAAAUUGUGUUCCCUGUCCUCUAUCAGGGCAAAGAAUAUUUAGAAAACAUACUUGAAGUGAAAAGUCAAAUUAAUCUCACAAGCACCUCUGCUCACUCCUAAUAGUAACAAUACAAUAACAGUAAAUGAAGUACCUAACAAUCUUUUGCUCUUUGAUGGCACUAACAGCCUGCAGCCCUAUAUCCCCUCAAGAUCUAUACAUAAUAAAAGUGAAAAAUGUGUGUGUGGAGGAGGUUUCCACUUACACAGACAGACCCCUGCCUCCACAAACAGCUAUAGUUCCCACUGAGCAGGAGUCACCAAUGGCCCACCCUCCACUGACAUGCAGGUUAUAGUGAGCGCUGUAAACAUGUAGCCCAAACCCUGUCAGUGCCCUCCAAAACACCAUUUGGCCCGCCACCCAAGUGAAGGCUUUCAUGUGGGGACAAUUUCAUCCUAGAUGUUCUGUUUUUCCUCUAGAAUAGACACCCCAGGGUUCCUUAAUUUACAUGACCCCUGUUCACUGCCUCUAUCUUAACCCCUUCCUACCCUUUCCUAUGGCACACAGUUAACAGAGGAACAGAGGUUUGGGGAGAAUUCACCAUGAUUUACAAGAGUUGUACUUGACCGACAUCCAGAGAGCACUGUUAACCCAACCAACGAUAGAUUUGGACCAAAUUUGCCAUGGAUAAUGGGACUUGAAGUAACUUCACUGAUACAGUGACCCCCACCGACAAUGGACGCGGACCAAACUUGGCACAGAGAAGCCCCAUGACCAACUGAACAUACUACAGGGGUUAGUGGAAAUGGACCUUAAUUUUAGGAGUUGUAGUUCACCUGCAUCCAGAAAGCACUGAACCAGCUGAUGUCAGAUCUGGACCAAACUUGGCACACAGAGCCAACAUGGCCAAGUGUGCAUAGAGGCCUGGUUUGGGGGUGACUGACCUUGGAUCUGCGAGUUGUAGUUCACCCUUCUCCAGACAGCUCUGAACCCUGCUGACAACAGAUCUGGACCAAACUUGGCAUACACAUCCAACAUAGCCAACUGUGAGCAUUGGCAGGGUUUGGGGGUGAUUGCCCUGGAAUUUUGGGAGUUGUAGUUCACCCUUAUCUAGACAGCACUGAACCCAACCAAUGAUGGAUCUGGACCCAACUUAAGUGAUAUUACCUAACAUCCCAAAACAAACAAUACCUUCUUUUAUAAACCUGGGCAUUGACGGGUCCCAAAGUUAGUUAACAAUAAUGUUGGCUGUGAUAUUAACGAAGACUUCAGCACCAUGGUCAGUUCCCUGGUAGCAUUGAAUUCUCAUGAAGAAGAAAUCCUUUCAGCAUCACAACAGCUUUCCUAUCUCUGCCAGGCUCUGCCCACGCUUAGAGGAUCUCUUAAUGGGAUCAUAUCACACAAUGGUUGGAGAAGAGAAGGUUGAGAGGGACAUGAUAGGAGACUUUUGUGGAAGUUUGUUAUCUGGCCACUACAGUUUAGAGCUAACUUCAAACUGCAUUAAUUUAGUCAGUGUAGGUGGGGCCUCAGUAAGCCUUAAAUCUGAUUUAUUUUGUUUAAAUCACUGGCCUCAUUAGUGGUGGGCAACUGGGGAGGAGUCAGAGGUCUUUUUCACCUGUUUACCUCUCUCCCUGAACUCCUAAUAUAACUAGAAGUUUCAAGUCACUUCCAGUUCAAUUGUGGACCAGUUUUUGUCUGAUCUUUGGGUGGGGCUUAAGAGGCCAAAAUAGGAUAAUGGGCCACAUGUAGCCUGUGGGCUGUUCUUUCUGUACCCCAUAUACAUACAUAGCAGUUCAUAAAAAAGCAGCUAUUUCUCUUUGGUGGAUAGUCUCCUUUUAAAGUUUAGUGCUAAGAGCUGUAGCAAAGGAAUGAUUUGAUCAAAAAUUCAUGAAACUGACUUUGGAAUUAGAGGAUGAACAGCUUUAUGAAAUUGCUCCUCCCUUUCUCCCCAAUUAUGUUCUAAUAAAUUGUUCCACCAGUACAUCAGCACAUUUGCAUGUGCUUACAACCCCCCAAAUCUGAGCCAGGAUGGCAAGUAAAAGGAGAUUUAGUCCAAAUAAGUAUUUUUCCCAUGCUCUACUUGACAAUAAGCCCUACUGAAUGAAAUGAGGGUUAAUUUUAAUUAGACAUACAUGGCAGUCUCUGAUUCCCCAACUGUGUAAAAAGAGGAUAUGGGACACUUUUAGAUCUUUUGAAUAAAUUGUGGUGAUUUUUUUUUUUUACAAAAUAUUCUUUUAAAAAAUCCAGGCAAAAAGAAAAUCCUUUCUAGUAGUUCAGGUUUAAAUAUUGUGUUGUGUUUCUAGUCGUUCAGGUUUAAAUAUUGUGCUGUGUGGAAUUGUGACUUUAUACAUGCCUCAGCUACUGCGUUGUCUAUGGAGCAGUCCCUGCACUAUACUUCUGUAAUGAAAGCAACUAUUGGAGGGAUGUGGGUUUCUGUGAGUUUUCCAGGCUGUAUGGCCAUGUUCCUGAUGCAUUCUCUCCUGACGUUUCACCCACAUCUAUGGAAGGCAUCCUCAGAGGUUGUGAGGUCUGUUGGAAAUUAUGCAUCUGUGGAAGGUCCAGGGUGGAAGAAAGAACUCUUGUCUGCUUGAGGCAAGUGUGAAUGGUGCAAUUCUUUCUCCCACCUUGAACCAGAAGAAAAUUGACCAUUAUCCCCCAUGCCUGUUCUAAGCUAGUUUCCCCUAGUGUGAUGUUUCCCUAAUGUUUCUAAGGAAAUAACUAAAGAUCUGUGUUUUCAGGGUCAACUCUGACUUUUCCACUAUAUUUUAAAGGCUUUCGUGGGGUCUUUUUUGUUUUGUUUCAGAUCAUAUGCUCUUCCUGACCAUAAGGUCAAAAGGGUCAGGAUUUCUACUGAUUCACUGACUUGAAGCUUUAGGAUGAAGCUAGCAGCCACUAGAACUGCUGUUUCUGACUUUAGAGCUCAGUCUCUAAGGAGAGAGAAGACCGCACCAGGAGCAUUGCAUCCAGUUCUGCACACUACAUUUCCAGAAGAAUAUUGAAAAGCUGGAGGUUUCCACACUAAGGUGAUCAAAAUGGUGCUUGAAGCUGAAGCCCAGCAUACCUAUCAAAAAUCAAGUGCUUUGUAAAACACUGCGAGCAGUCUAUUAGAAGGAAAAGUUUCUGUGUGGCUGGGUGGGACCGGUUGUUUUGAACAACAGCAAGAAAAGAAACCUUGUUUGAAUGAAGACUCCUCCGGCAAAGUGAAAUCAGGAAGGAAAGGAGGAUGGGUGCCUGCUCUCUGGCUGUUACUCAUAAAAGCAUUGAACUCAGUAUUUAAUUUCUAAAAAAGGUGCAAUGUUUUGAAAUCUAAGUUGGGAAUAGCACUCUGUACAGUCUGUUUCUCACGGAGAGAGACUUGAAUUACCUAUGAAUGAGCGAGUGAGCAUAUGCACCUCCUAAGAGCAUGGAAAAGCUACUUUUGUGAGGGAACUGCUAAUCUCAGAAAUGUGUUGUCGAAGGCUUUCAUGACCAGAAUCACUGGGUUGCAGUGAGUUUUCUGGGCUGUAUGGCCAUGCUCCAGAAGUAUUCUCUACUGAUGUUUCACCCACAUCUAUGGCAGGCAUCCUCAGAGGCUGUGAGGUCUCCUCAGAGGUUGUGAGGCAUCAUCAGAGGUUGUGAGAUCUCACAACCUUAGGUCUCAGCAGUGGUCAGGAGGGCUUUUGCACCAGUUGCGCCUGUACCUUGGGAAGUCACACUUGGCCACGGUGGUCCAGGCAUUGGUUACAUCUCGUAUAGACUAUUGCAAUGCACUCUACAUGGGGCUGCCUUUGCAAACUGUUUGGACGCUUUAGUUAGUCCAAUGUGCAGCAGCCAGAUUGUCACGCCCAAGGCAACAGAGCACUAAGAACCGACACACGGAGGCCAAAAACUAUCUAAUAUCUUUAUUAAGGAAAUAUGUAAGAAUAAUAAAAACAAGUAGGAAAUGUAGUCCAGUAUAAGACCUUUCAGGGAAGGUCAAAUAUAGUCCAAAAUUAUAUUGUCCAAUAUUUUAUAUUAGAGUCCAAAGUUAUAAUCCCAAACCGAAACACACUCUAUUUACAAGCAAUAGAGUGGGGAAACAUCCAAAGAUCUUUUCAAAGUCCAAAGUAAGUCCACGACAAGAACUGGAAACAAGGCUUGAUACUAGAAACAAGGUCCGAGGCUGGAAGCAAGGCAAGAUAGUUCUUGAAUACUUGGUUAGGCAAGGCAAGGCGAGGCAAGGGAACUGGAGUUGCAGACUUUGCGAAGUCCACACUUGGCUGGAAACACGAAAUCACUCCUGAAGCUGAUCUGUUGACUCCGCACGGAAUUCUUCGUGUCAGGCACUUUUAUCCCGGUUUCAUUUCUCUGCAAAGCAGGUGUCCUGAACUUCCUUUCCCAAGGGAAAGGAGAACGAAACACAUCUCCCUCCAGAUGCGUUCCUCCCUAGAAUUUCCCAGGGGAACAUGGCUAAUUAAUGUCUUGUUUAGCUGCUAUUCUCAAGCUCCUCCGAACCUGCUCUUUCUCUCCCCUGCCCGCCGCAUAGAACUGUUUCCUGGGAAAAGGAGGGGAGGUAGUGGGAAAGGCCUGGUCAAGGUCUUCCUUAAUGGGCUCUCGGGUAGAAACAUCAACAACAGGCAUCUGGAAAGAUUCCGGCUCUUGCUGAGCCGGCAAAAAUCCCCUGUUUUCCUCCUCAUCAGCUACAAUGGCGCUGGGAUCAGAACUCCAAGGCCCAUGAGGCAUCACACAGAUUGCCAAUGGGAGCAGUGUUCAGGGAGCACACAACCCCUCUAUUGCUCCAGCUCCAUCGGCUGUCGGUUUGCUACCGAGCACAAUUCAAAGUUCUGGCUUUGACUUAUAAUGCCCUGAAUGACCCUGGCCAAAUUUACCUGUCCGAAGGCAUCACCCUCUGUAAACCAGCACAGAGGUUAAGAUCUUCUGGAGAGGCCCUACUCUUGGCCCCACCAUCUUCGCAGGCACAACUUGUGGGGACGAGAGACAGGGCCUUCUCAGUGGUGGCCCCUCAGCUGUGGAACUCCCUCCCUAGUGAGAUUAGGUUAGCCCCUUCCCUCCUGCCAUUUUGCAAAAAAGUGAAAACCUGACUUUGGGAGCAAGCUUUUGGCCGAGCAUAAUUAUCUGGGCAAUAUAGUUGGAAUUGGCUUUGGAUUGAUGAAUAUAAUUACCUGAUUAUCUGGCUUCGGAUCUAGGCACAACAGUCAUCUAAUGUUUACAUAAUUGUUUUAAUGUUGUUUUACAUUGUUGUUUAAUUGCUUUCAAUUAUUGUUAUUGUUCGGGCAUGGAAUAAUGCCGCUCAUGUAAGUCACUCUGGGUGAGAAGGGCGAGAUAUAAAUGUCGUAAAUAAAUAAAUAAAUAGGAGUGUAUCUAUAUGUGUUUAUUACUUGUUUUGUUAAAGAAUGUGGAUAGUCUGUGGGAUUCACUUUGUUCUGUUGAAUUUUUGUUAAGUUAUGUCUCCAACUAAAAAUGAAUUCUGGAAAAAAAAUCUUUAUCACUUUAUUUGCAGUGCCUUGAAUACCAAAUGAGCUCAAUAUCCUUUUAACUGGUAUAAAUGGAUGGUACUGUUUCAUUAUCUGUGUAGAGGCCACAAGGGGGUGCUAGAGAGAGGAGGAUAGUCCCUUUUAUGGGGUUGGAGGGUGAGUUGAAGGAGUAAAAUAUUUCCCCCCUGUUUUCCUGUUAUUCUCCCCAC